AGUCUGAGGCCUUUUAGAGACUUCGAGGACUUUCCAGAAGCCUCGAGAAGUCACGUGUUCUCUGGACCUGUGACAAAAGUCCUCGCUUUCUCCAUACUGCCGACAUGAGCUCUCCGGAUGAGGCGGCAGUCCCUGCAGCCUCUGAAGAUAAGGACAGCCCUCCUACCGGUGGUAUGAAUUUCUGGGAUCAGGUGUUUGUUCCUGAAGCCGACUUGGGCCAGGACAGCAGGAAGCGUUUAGGGAACCCAGUGACCAGCCGAAGAGUUCCGGAGGGUCCGAGCCUCUUCCGAGGUCCUCUGGAGAUUGGAGAGGGUGAGGGCAGCCUCCCAGGCCCUGAAAGCAGUGAGUUGGAGUCUGGGGCUAAGUUGGAAGCAACAGAGGAAAGAGGCGGAGUGCUUAGGGAUCCUGAAUGCCAGACCACUUCCCCCAUCGACCAAGAAGAGGUCGACCUGGACUUCUUGCCCCAGCUCAGCAAUGAGGCCAUGACUAUAAUGCGAGAGCUGACCAACCUUCAGACCCGAAAAGUCUGCAGGUACCCAUCCCCACAAACUUAUGCUGCUGAAUUGGCUGCCCUCUGGGAAAACAUAGAUGAAGGCUCCAACAGAAGGGCACUGUCCUUGAGCUCUGUGAAAGGGAAACAGGCCUUCGAAGGUGCACCGUACCCUAGAGGCCUGGGACGAGGCAGAGCCUGGGUGACCCCAAGAAGAGGCACCAUAAGUAGGAUGGUGAGCAGCGAGGUUGUCCAGUAUCCCUCCUCAAACACUGUGUCUUCUGAUGAGUUGAGUGACACUCAAGUGAGGAAAGUAACCACUUGCCUCAAAGAAGGAGACCAGGCCAGGUCCAGUGGCCUCACUGAGCUGGAUAACAUAGGCAAACAUACAACUGUCCAUAGCAGAGGAAAUUUUGUCCAUGUUCCCCCUUCUGUACUGUCUAGUGCUACCUGGGGACUCAGCUCAGGCAUGGAAAGGCAGGCUUCAGCAGAACUGGAAAGUUCUUUGUUUAAGAAAAAGCCAAAUAUGGGCAGGGGCAAAGAAGGAAGCAGGUCCAGCCACCAAGGAGCUACUGCAGCUGCUGCCACUACCUCUGCUGCUGCCCCUGGCUCACCUUCUGCUGCUUCGGGUGCUCUGCACAAGACCAGUCCCAAAAAGAAGCAAGUACAAGAAAAGAACUCCUCCUUAGAUGUGUCAAGAGGACCCCAGGGGAGAAACUUGUCACCGUGGGGACAGAGACUCAAGUCAGCUCCUGUGGGGCUAGCCACCCUACCCCCAAUCUCAGGGGUUGCCCUGCUAGGGAAGGCCAGUAAAUGCUCACUGCCUUCAGGACCCAAAGAGUGUAAGCCCUUCUGCACUGGGAAGAAAUUCAUGGUAAAGAAGUCAAGGGAGACACAGGCAGGGCCCAAAGAAGAUAAUAACUCACCAAGAGAUCCUGGACUGCAGGCCCAAGUUCCACCACACAGGGCAGAGCAGCCUUCCGUGUGCAUGUAUCGUGGAGAAAUGAGCAGUGGAGACUGCAACACCAGAGCAUCUCAAGUUCCAGGAAACCUGCAGUUCCUGUCCUUGAGCCAGAGAUGUCCCAGACCCAGAGCACCUGCCCCUGCUGGUGAAGAAGAUGCAAUUGUGGGCGCGGUACUCCCUGGUGAAGAAAGACAGCAAGAACUACAAGGGACACCAGGCUGUGCUCAGUGUCUGAUGUUCCAGAAGGAAAUAGAUGAACUCAAGGAACAACUAGGGCUGGCACUGCUGUGACCCAGCGUUUGAGGACUGCCUGUUCAUGCCGUUCUCCUGUAGAAAACGUUUGCACAUAGCGCUCGGUGAUGGGUGGGGGAGUCUGUCCCAAGUCUGUCUGCUUGGAUGGGGGUUGGGGGGCAGUGAGGUGGCUGUCCGGAAGUUCCUAUGGAACAGAGACUGGGGCUCAGGCUGGUGGGUUCCUGUGUGUCUUAAGGAGUCUGAAAUACCCAUUUGUUCCUUUGUGUUUCAGCGGUCAUGCAGGCCCUCAACGAAAAGUUACAGGAUCUCUGAAGUUGGACCCAGAUUCUCUCCCCACAGAAGAGGCCAAACUACUCCACCCAGGGAUGCUGCUUCCUUCCAGUUCUUCUACAGCAGUGGUUUCCAGCUUCCUAAUGCUAUGGCCUGUUCAUACAGUUCCCUGUGUCAUGUUAAUCCCCAACCAUAAAGUUAUUUCUGUUGCCGCUUCACAACUGUA